AAUGAACGCUGGCGGCAUGCCUAACACAUGCAAGUCGAACGAGACCUUCGGGUCUAGUGGCGCACGGGUGCGUAACGCGUGGGAACCUGCCCUUAGGUUUGGAAUAACUCCCCGAAUGGGGUGCUAAUACCGGCUAUUGUCUUCGGUCCAAAGUUUUAUCGCCUUUGGAUGGUCCUGCGUUGGAUUAGCUUGUUGGUAGGGUAAAAGCCUACCAAGGCGACGAUCCAUAGCUGGUCUGAGAGGAUGAUCAGCCACACUGGGACUGAGACACGGCCCAGACUCCUACGGGAGGCAGCAGUGGGGAAUAUUGGACAAUGGGCGAAAGCCUGAUCCAGCAAUGCCGCGUGAGUGAUGAAGGCCUUAGGGUUGUAAAGCUCUUUUACCCGGGAUGAUAAUGACAGUACCGGGAGAAUAAGCUCCGGCUAACUCCGUG
rnacentral:rRNA from 1 species